GACGAACGCUGGCGGCGUGCCUAAUACAUGCAAGUGGGACGCAAGGAAACACACUGUGCUUGCACACCGUGUUUUCUUGAGUCGCGAACGGGUGAGUAACGCGUAGGUAACCUGCCUAUUAGCGGGGGAUAACUAUUGGAAACGAUAGCUAAUACCGCAUAAUAUUAAUUAUUGCAUGAUAAUUGAUUGAAAGAUGCAAGCGCAUCACUAGUAGAUGGACCUGCGUUGUAUUAGCUAGUUGGUAAGGUAAGAGCUUACCAAGGCGACGAUACAUAGCCGACCUGAGAGGGUGAUCGGCCACACUGGGACUGAGACACGGCCCAGACUCCUACGGGAGGCAGCAGUAGGGAAUCUUCGGCAAUGGAAGAAAGUCUGACCGAGCAACGCCGCGUGAGUGAAGAAUGUUUUCGGAUCGUAAAGCUCUGUUGUAAGUCAAGAACGUGUGUGAGAGUGGAAAGUUCACACAGUGACGGUAGCUUACCAGAAAGGGACGGCUAACUACGUG
rnacentral:rRNA from 1 species